AGAGUUGAUUCUGGCUCAGGAUGAACGCUAGCUACAGGCUUAACACAUGACAAGUCGGAGGGGUAGCGAGGGUAGCAAUACCGCUGACGACCGGCGCACGGGUGAGUAACACGUAUCCAACCUUCCCAUAACUCAGGGAUAGCCUUUCGAAAGAAAGAUUAAUACCUGAUAGUACUUUUUCAAGGCAUCUUGAGAAAGUUAAAGAUUUAUUGGUUAUGGAUGGGGAUGCGUUCCAUUAGAUAGUUGGUGAGGUAACGGCUCACCAAGUCUUCGAUGGAUAGGGGUUCUGAGAGGAACGGUCCCCCACAUUGGUACUGAGACACGGACCAAACUCCUACGGGAGGCAGCAGUGAGGAAUAUUGGUCAAUGGGCGAGAGCCUGAACCAGCCAAGUAGCGUGAAGGAUGGAAACGGUCCUAUGGAUUGUAAACUUCUUUUAUAGUAGAAUAAAGUGAUCCACGUGUGGAUUUUUGUAUGUAUACUAUGAAUAAGGAUCGGCUAACUCCGUGCCAGCAGCAGC
rnacentral:rRNA from 1 species